rnacentral:rRNA from 1 species
AUUGAACGCUGGCGGCAGGCCUAACACAUGCAAGUCGAGCGAACGGCGGACGGGUGAGUAAUGUAUGGGGACUGCCCGAUCGAGGGGGAUAACUACUUGAAACGGUGGCUAAUACCGCAUACUAUCGGAUAACCCAUAUGGGAUUAGCUAGUAGGUGGGGUAAAGGCUCACCUAGUCGACGAUCGCUAGCUGAUCUGAGAGGGUGAUCAGCCACACUGGGACUGAGACACGGCCCAGACUCCUACGGAGGCAGCAGUGGGGAAGAUUUGACAAUGGGCGCAAGCCUGAUGCAGCCAUGCCGAGUGUAUGAAGAAGGCCUUAGGGUUGUAAAGUACUUUCAGCGGGGAGGCGUUACCCGAAGAAGAAGCACCGGCUAACUCCGUGCCAGCAGCCGCGGUAAUAC